GGGGGCGAAAGGGUUCGACGCCAUUAGGUCCCUUUAAGUGGCAGUCUGUGAUUGAGGGAAGGUCACACAAAACACCCUCAAAAAAAUAAGUGCCAAUGAAUAUGCACUUGCUGCUUAAAAAUUAAGUAGCCGUCCUUCUCUUCUUUGCCUGUGGGAGGGGAAAGGGCGUUAAAUAGCAGGCUAAGCUUGGUCUUCUUGCUCGGGGAUACCAGGUAAAAGAUAAGAGCUCGUCUUCUGGCUAUCCUGUCUUAAGGAGCGUCAGGAGAUUAAAUCAAAAUUAAGACUAUGACUGUAGAAACUUAAAGGGGAUAGUGAACGGACGCGGGUUCAAUUCCCGCCGCCUCCACCA
rnacentral:tmRNA from 1 species